rnacentral:rRNA from 1 species
AAGUCUAAAACGACUCUCGGCAACGGAUAUCUUGCCUUGGUGUCACA